AGUCGGCCGGACAGUCGCUGCGUCCCCGGACGUGGAGGAAAGUCCGGGCUCCACAGGGCAGGGUGCCAGGUAACCCCUGGGCGGCGUGAGCCGACGGAAAGUGCCGCAGAAAACGAACCGCCGAUGGCCGUCCACGGACGGCACAGGUAAGGGUGAAAAGGUGCGGUAAGAGCGCACCGCGCGGGUGGCAACACCUUGCGGCAGGGUAAACCCCACUCGGAGCAAGACCGAAUAGGGGAGCGAAGGCGCGGCCCGCGUCAGCUUCCGGGUAGGUCGCUCGAGUUGCACGGCGACGUGCAUCCCAGAUGAAUGACUGUCUCCGACAGAACCCGGCUUACAGGCCGGCUUC
rnacentral:RNase_P_RNA from 1 species